CUGUAUCCUGCAAAGCUUUUGAAAAGAUGGGGAAAGGUUAAGAGCAAAACCUGGUCUCUAGAGGACAGCCAUAUUCAAACUCUUCUUCGUACCUUUUUCAUGUCUUAUUCUGAUAGGCAUGCUCUGAACCUUCUAGUGAGGAACAAGGAGCAUAAGAGAUGUCAUUUUGGCUUAGGAGACACUCAUAGUCAGCUUUUUGCAAGAAGACCUGGUCAGCUGGGUUCCAGAAGUUACUGGAUAUUAGGACUUUCAGCAUGGGAUUCGUGUUAAUCAACUUUAGACAUCUAUGCUGCCUUUGAAUCCCUAGAUAAAGAAGAUGUCUCAGCCAGCUGUCCAUGCCACCGAACCUCAAAAAGACCCGAAAACAAGACACUUGGUUCAUAUUUCAAAGGUAUCUUGCCAAUGUCUGCAUUCAGUGCAACAAGUUGUUCCCAGAGGAAAUUAAGGUAACAGCCAUGGUGUGGUGAAGAGAGAACAGGAAAAU
rnacentral:lncRNA from 1 species